AGGGUUUGACAUACAAGUAGGUAGGGAAAGGAACUGGACCGACCCUUCGGGGAGCUUGUACAGGUGCUGCAUGGCUGUCGUCAGCUCGUGUCGUGAGAUGUUCGGUUAAGUCCGCUAACGAGCGCAACCCUCGCUGUGUGUUACAAGUGUCACACGGAACUGCCGGUCAUAAACCGGAGGAAGGUGGGGAUGACGUCAAGUCAGCAUGGCCUUUAUAUCCUGGGCUACACACACGCUACAAUGGGAAGGGACAAUAGGUUGCGAAGCCGCGAGGCGGAGCCAAUCCAGCAAAACUUCCCUCAGUUCAGAUUGCAGGCUGCAACUCGCCUGCAUGAAGUUGGAGUUGCUAGUAAACGCAGGUCAGCCAUACUGCGUUGAAUACGUUCCCGGGGCUU
rnacentral:rRNA from 1 species